AACAACUAACACAAUUUUUAACUUUAGACAGUGAAAAAAGAUCUGCAAUGGAACGUAGGCUGCAAAGACAAAAAAAAAAAAAAGAGCAAGUUUAUUUCUCCUGUGAUUCAAUAACAACUGAAUGUUAUCUUUGCUUAAAUGUUAAUUUGGAAUGUGUACUCCUUUCAUUCUAAGUCAACAACAACAACAAAAUCUAUUUGAAAGGGCUAUUAAGAGGUCAUGGAGGCAAUAUUCUGCUGAAAGAGAAUUAACAGCAGUGGAACCAUAAAGCUGCUGCUCCUCCAGAGGAAGACAAGACUUUGAAAAUCACCUUGAAACUCAAUAAUAAAGAAAGGAGAGUAGAUAUCAAGAAGCUACAGUAUUCUGAGAAAUAAAAAGUGAUACUUCGUCCUUUGGUGAUGGUGGUAUGGCAGACAAGUGAAUGACAUUUUCUUUACCGUGGGCUACUAGAGACAGAAGAAAGGAUCUCUGCCCACCACUCUUCUGAGAAGCCACCCAAAUUAACUUAAUUCUGGUCAUUCAUGGUCAUUCAAGAGAAUAACUCCUAUCUCAUCUUAUCCCUCUGUGCUGCUUAAUAACAAAGGAUUAUGGAAUAAAUCCUGGAAUUCUGGCAUUUAACCCAAAAGACAUAAUAUGCUUAUUAUCUUACAGAAAGAUUUUUUUGUUUUUGUUUUUGUUUUGAGAACUGGCUGGAGUGGUCCAAAAUCAAAAAAUGAGGGUAACAGGUAGAACUGAGUAUCAGUGAUUCAAUACUCAGUCUACUUCACCCUUUUUAUUUAAGAGUAUGUAUGCAUUCAGUAUUGUUCCUGAAGUUAUGAGAGAAAGAAAAAAAAUUAAUGAAAACUGUCUUCAUGAUUCAGUUUUUGACUUUUCCUGUAAAAUUUAUCUUCUCCAUCUACAUUUCAAAAAAGGGUUUAGAUAUGAUGACACACAGAGCUACAGUAUUUAAAUCUAGGGGCUGAUUUUCAAGAGCAGUAUUCACUAUGCAGUGUUUCUAACGUCUGAGAUAAUUAUAUUUUUUGGAAGAAGAGCACACAUGAAUGACACAAAAUCCAUCAUGUUCACAGAUGCCAAUUAGUCAAUAGAAAAAAAGACAAAAUGAAAAUGUAACUUCCACUUUUUCAGGUAUAUGGAAUUUUUUAACCCUUGUAAGAGGCAGAAUCCUUUUUGAUGUUAGUAAGAAUCCAGUUUCAUGAAUAUUUAUCUUAAGAAAAAUAUAAAACAAAGCAUUUGGGGUGUGGAAAGCUUUCAAAGUGUGAUCUUAUUCAUAAGACACAUAUCUAUGUUGAUUUUCAGAGAUUCUGAGCUGCUUCUAAUGAGUUUAAUGAUAUCUGUUGCUUCUGCAAUGAACAUGGGAGGUGUGAGUACAUACCUGUCUGUGGGUGAAGGAGAAAAGGGUUAAGUCAUCAUUCAUUCCUUGGAAUAAAGGAAGUCAUUUUAAAAUUUUCUGACAAGCCAAAAGUUGAAUGAUAGGCCUGAACCUGCCUAUUGAAAUGAAGAGUUCAACAGAAAUGCAGUCUUUCAUCAUCAUGAAAGAAAAAGAGGUUAUGAAAAAUUAUUUAUUGCUGCUAUGUUAUAGAAUCAUAGAUUCAUAGAAUAGCUUGGGUUGGAAGGGACCUUAAAGAGUAUUUAGUUGCAAGCACCCUGCUGUAGGCAGGUUUCCCAACAGGUGGUCCACAAUCCCAUCCAGCCUGACUUUGAACACCUCCAGGGAUGGGGCAUCCACAGCCUCUCUGGACAGUCUGUUCCAGUGGCUCACCGCCCUCUGAGUAAAAAAAAUCUCUUCCUAACAUCCAAUCAAAAUUUUCCCUCUUUAGUUUAAAACCAUUCCUCUUUGUCCUACCACUAUCUGACCAUGCAAAAAGUCAGUCAUGUUUCUUUGAUUCUGGGAAUUUAUGCAUUAUAUGUUAUAUGACAUUAAUUAUCAGUUUUGGAAGCCUGUCUUAAUGUUUGAAACAAAAAGAAAAUCUACUCACCUAGCCUCUGUAUUUCCCAAACUAAGGAAUACAUUAGAAAAGACACAAGAUUCUGUGAAAAACAGGAUGCAGAUGGGCAUCCCUGCUUCCUCUUAUCUGCUGGCAAGGCCCGGAAGAUGAUAACAAAGGAAUUUCUGCUGAGAUCCCAGAGGCAGUAGCUGCCACUCCAAGGAGAGCUGACUCAACCACUUUGGAUUCGAGCUGUCACUCAAAAGAAAGCUGACUCGACCACUUUGGACUUAUAAAUAAGUUUGUACUGCCAUCGUUGUCGUCAUCGCUGUGGUCACCAUUGUCAACAGAACACCAGAUGACCCACCACUACUGAAGAUCAAUGACUGAACUACGAACCACGUUGGACCAUGGUGGUGACUAUCUCCCUCCUGCUUCCUAUACGGACUCCUUGCUUCUAUUUCCUAUCUUUUCUAUCGCCCUUCUCCCCUUCCCCAUCUCCCUGAACGACUAGGAUUUGUAAUACACUGGUCAGACCAACAUUUGAACCGUUGUUUGUUAAUCUCAUGCCAGGUAUACACACAUCAAAGAACCUCAUCUCCCUCCGAUAAAUUGGAGAGAGACAAUCAUUUUAUGCUUUUACAAUAUCACAUUAAAAUAAAACAAAAGAAAACUUAUACUGUAUGGAAUGCUGAGGAUAGUCACAAAUAGUCUAUUUGUACUGGCUAGAAAUAAUAAAUACAGUAUUUCU
ensembl:lncRNA